UGGGCCAGCAGGUGUGUGCUCAUCUAU
rnacentral:piRNA from 1 species